CAUGUAUAGUCUUUAACAGCCCCGGUGGCCGAAUGGGUAAUGCGGCCACCUGGUAGCGCCUUGGCGUGGGGACCCAAGGCGCGUGGGUUCGAAACCCGCAGGGGACAACAUUACAUCCAGAGCCAACUUCUCAGCUCCUAAAAUAAUGGGAUGUGAACCUGCCAAGUAGGUACCUUCGGGCGGACCUACUACUUGAUUUAGCUGAUUUUUCCUGGGCUGGGAACCUGUAUCACAUGUACCAAAUCCUGUCUUUCAUUAAUUUUUCUAUGUUCCUGUUAUAUUCUUGGCAUUGUUCAACACUAGCAUUCCUCCUGUAUAACCAACUCUUGCCUGUAUUUAACAUCACACAAGGACUCGUCAUAAGCACUGCUUGCAUACGAGUAUAAUGGAAGAAUAAUAAUAAUAAUAAUAUAGUCUCUAACAAUUCCUUCAUAUAAUCUCUGACAUUCUUCUGCUUCACUCAUUGCUCUAUAAGAACUCUUCAUACAAUCUUUUCUUUCAAUCUUCUUUCUCUUUCUUUUCUUAAUCAAUUCAUAAACUGUAUUAGAAUAGUGCUUAAGCUGUUAAUCAGUAGUACACCUGUUACACUUUCUCAUGUGCUCAUAUACAUCUAUAAAACAUCUCUUUUCUUAUGACUCUGCUCUGUGCUUAUAUAGUCUCUAAUAAUUUCUUUGUGUAAUCUCUAACAUCUUUCUGCUUUAUACUCUGCUGCAGUGUGAUCUUUGAUAUUCUUCUAUUCUGAUUUAUCUUUCUAUAAGAACUCUCUCUGUACAAUCUUUUCUUCUGGUCUCUUUUCUCUCUCUUUCCUUAAUCAAUUUGUAAACUGUAUUAGAAUAGUACUAAGUCCGUU
rnacentral:sRNA from 1 species